UCCUCCAUAGCUCAAUGGUAGAGCGACCGGCUGUUAACCGGUAGGUUCUAGGUUCGAGUCCUAGUGGGGGAGC
rnacentral:tRNA from 1 species